rnacentral:tRNA from 1 species
GGCUCUGUGGUGCAAUGGACAGCACAUUGGACUUUUACAGUAAAGUGUUAUUCAAAGGUUGUGGGUUCAAGUCCCACCAGAGUCA